CUGGCGGCAUGCCUUACACAUGCAAGUCGAACGGCAGCGCGGGGCAACCUGGCGGCGAGUGGCGAACGGGUAAGUAAUAUAUCGGAACGUACCCUGGAGUGGGGGAUAACGUAGCGAAAGUUACGCUAAUACCGCAUACGAUCUAAGGAUGAAAGUGGGGGCUUCGCAAGAACCUCAUGCUCCUGGAGCGGCCGAUAUCUGAUUAGCUAGUUGGUGGGGUAAAGGCCUACCAAGGCAUCGAUCAGUAGCUGGUCUGAGAGGACGACCAGCCACACUGGAACUGAGACACGGUCCAGACUCCUACGGGAGGCAGCAGUGGGGAAUUUUGGACAAUGGGCGAAAGCCUGAUCCAGCAAUGCCGCGUGAGUGAAGAAGGCCUUCGGGUUGUAAAGCUCUUUUGUCAGGGAAGAAACGGUGAGGGCUAAUAUCCCUUGCUAAUGACGGUACCUGAAGAAUAAGCACCGGCUAACUACGUGCCAGCAGCCGCGGUAAUACGUAGGGUGCAAGCGUUAAUCGGAAUUACUGGGCGUAAAGCGUGCGCAGGCGGUUUUGUAAGUCUGUCGUGAAAUCCCCGGGCUCAACCUGGGAAUUGCGAUGGAGACUGCAAGGCUAGAAUCUGGCAGAGGGGGGUAGAAUUCCACGUGUAGCAGUGAAAUGCGUAGAGAUGUGGAGGAACACCGAUGGCGAAGGCAGCCCCCUGGGUCAAGAUUGACGCUCAUGCACGAAAGCGUGGGGAGCAAACAGGAUUAGAUACCCUGGUAGAAUCACUAGUGAAUUC
rnacentral:rRNA from 1 species